GGUCUCGCGCUCUUUCUGCCUCCGGCCGCGUGGUUGGAAGUCAUGGUCGUGGGUGUCGGUGCGGAGCGCGGCGGGCAGGCUCAGGCUUGGGGUGGUGGCCUUUAUUUUGGCAUCUGAAGAGAUGGGGAGAAGCAGAGCUGCAGGUUGAAGCUUAAGAGUAAUGGAUAAACCCUAAAAAUGAGUUAGAGUGGGUGGUCACCAAAAAUGAGGAAGCAGCUGACGUGAAGGCCUGUCUCAGACAUCUACCUCAUGCUUUGUUCUGAAGUUAAAGGCGCUGACUGCAGGCUUUGAAAAAAGUCACAUGAAACCCAUCGCCUCGAGAUGUUGACUGAGGAGCUUCAUCAUAAAAGAGCUGUAAAUGGUUAAAGGUGCUGACUGCAGGCUUUGAAAAAAGUCACACGAAACCCAUCGCCUCGAGAUGUUGAAUAUAAGGAGCUUCAUGAUGAAAGACCUGUAAAUGGUGCGGUCUGGGCCUCAGUUUCCGAGGCUGAACAGCAUCCUUCAGCAGGAGACACCGCUGGCCCCAGUGCUGGGUCCUCCACCCGGGCCCAGAGCCGAGCCAGAUGUCGCUCAUGUGGGUUGUGGCCUGACACCAUGACUCCAGGCACAGGACCUGUGCUCUUGCCUUAGACCUGUUUACAGAGGUGACCAGCACAGCUCUGCUGAUAAUGCCCAAGGCGAAAGAGGGAGGCUCGUUCAGGAGUUCAACAGUGAGAUCCCAGGAAACCUUUGGCAGGUAGUGGAAUGAGGGCCUAGUUGGGUGUGUUCUCACAGAUGGGCAGGACUAGGGGGUUGUAAAUGGAGAUUCAGGAAUUAUUCUGUGUAUAUGCUGUUGGGAGGAGGCUGUAAGGGGGAACAGAUGCUCAGCCUAGAAAAACGUUUCUGGAGUGGAUUUCCUGUGAAGUUGUCAAUGCGUCUUGGGUUUAAAUUUUGAAACACCAAUAAAAGUAUUUUUUUUUAACCUGACUCGCUAGUGUAGUGGUUUUUAGACUCUGGCGGAGACCCUCCGUAAGAGCAUUACAUUCUGUGACUCAGCACCCAUUCUCAUCUAAGUGAAGUUUCACAGACUCUGACAUUUUCUGUUUUGCCAUUGAAUCAGUCCCAACUCAUGGUGACCCCAUGCACGACAACGAAACACUGCAGUGUCCCCCUGAUUGUUUGCAGAUUGGACAGAGUUUCAUUGUGAUCCAUAGGGUUUUCAUUGGCUGAGUUUAGGAAUUGCCAGACCUUUCUUCCUAGUCUGUCUUAUUCUGGAAGCUCCACUGAACCGUCUUCAGCAUCACAGCAACACGCAAGCGCAUGAAGUGCAUCGGCCGGAAAUUGAACCUGAGUUUGCCCGCCUGGAAGGCAGGAAUUCUACCACUGAACUGUCCUACUGAUGGGUUGCAACCCACAAACAUUGCUCUGGCUCUCUUGUUUCAAAUCUAACAAGGAUUGACAGACGUUCUCUGCACGUUCUGUGUCUGCAGAUUUGAUUGGGAAUGGGGAGAGUCAGAAAGUGGUGUGGGUGAGCAGGGGCCAGGGGCCCUAAGUUUGGACAAUGUUAGGUUACAGGAAAGCGGAUUCUUUACUACAGAGUCAUUCCAUAGGAUACUAGACUGCACACUGAUUGUCAGGGGGAAAUAAAUACAUUUCCCACACUUUUUUCUAAAGCAGGUAUUCUGUCCAGAGGAACAUACUGGGCGCUGCCAGUCUCGAGAUCAGGGGACAGGUUGGUGU